CGGGGCCACAAAAAAACGUGGAUGGCGGAGGGUCAUUACACAAAUAUGAAGGCGGGCUGGAACCUCUCGGGGUUACAGCCUUGCUGAAUUAUUCACCCUUGUCUUUUGCGUACUUCUUGUUUCCUUGGUGGGUUCGCCCACCACUAGGACAAACAUAAACCUUUUGUAAUUGCAAUCAGCGUCAGUAACAAAUUAAUAAUUACAACUUUCAACAACGGAUCUCUUGGUUCUGGCAUCGAUGAAGAACGCAGCGAAAUGCGAUAAGUAGUGUGAAUUGCAGAAUUCAGUGAAUCAUCGAAUCUUUGAACGCACAUUGCGCCCUUUGGUAUUCCAAAGGGCAUGCCUGUUCGAGCGUCAUUUGUACCCUCAAGCUUUGCUUGGUGUUGGGCGUCUUGUCUCUAGCUUUGCUGGAGACUCGCCUUAAAGUAAUUGGCAGCCGGCCUACUGGUUUCGGAGCGCAGCACAAGUCGCACUCUCUAUCAGCAAAGGUCUAGCAUCCACUAAGCCUUUUUUUCAACUUUUGACCUCGGAUCAGGUAGGGAUACCCGCUGAACUU
rnacentral:rRNA from 1 species